CUGAAGGAGAAAAGUUGAAUUCGAUGAAUCUCCUCCUGUACAUGGCACCGAUAGCAGUGGUUCUCCUUCUUCCUGCUACAAUCCUGAUGGAGGAAAAUGUGGUUGGCAUCACACUUGCACUUGCAAGAGAAGAUUUCAAAAUCAUUUGGUACUUGCUUUUCAAUUCGUCGAUGGCUUAUUUUGUGAACCUGACCAAUUUCUUGGUCACCAAACACACCAGUGCGUUGACUCUCCAGGUUCUGGGGAAUGCCAAAGGUGCUGUUGCUGUGGUUGUCUCGAUUUUGAUAUUCAAGAACCCUGUCUCUGUAACGGGGAUGCUCGG
rnacentral:misc_RNA from 1 species